rnacentral:rRNA from 1 species
UACAGAGGGUGCUAGCGUUGUUCGGAAUCAUUGGGCGUAAAGGGCGUGUAGGCGGUCUGGUAAGUGGGAUGUGAAAGCCCCCGGCUCACCCGGGGAUCUGCAUUCCAUACUGCCAGACUUGAGUAUGGGAGAGGACAGGGGAAUUCCUGGUGUAGCGGUGAAAUGCGUAGAUAUCAGGAGGAACACCGGUGGCGAAGGCGCCUGUCUGGCCCAAUACUGACGCUGAGGCGCGAAAGCUAGGGGAGCAAACGGG